AAACAAGGAGAUUGUCUAGAAGAUUUGCAGGAGAUUCUGAAGGCGACUGGAGGCCAUAGUUGAAGCCAGUGGCGAUUUUGUUGAAUAGAUUUACUCUUUAGUAUUUCAAGAUAUUUUUAUAUAAUUUUGGCAAAUAUAUGUGUUUAAAUGAAA